GAUCGACAAAUUUGGGGAACCUGUUUCUAUCCUUCUGAUGGUUUAUGAAGCAGCUAGGUGCAAUGCUGUUCGGCCACGAUGUUCAACAGAGAGCAAUGAUUCAGGGAGCUUGAUGUGGAACAUCUUUAUGGCGGAGAAUUCGUUAUAGGAGACUUUUAACGAUUUAAAAGUGGCCUACAGGCUAGUAUAUACGAGUUGUUUUGCAAGGUUUGUAUGAAUAGAAGUUUGAAGAGCUUCACCAUGGCGGAAUCAAAUGAAGUUCGAGAUAAGUUGGCGACUUACCUUUGUAACGAUUGCUUAUGAACAUUUUGAGAUGAUUUUUAUUUUUCUAAUAAUAUGUACACUUUAUUAAUUCUAUGUACACUUUAAUUUAUAUUAUUCUAAUAUAUUUUAAAGUUAUUUACAAUUUAUUUUUUAUUGCAUUUCGGUUAUUUUUUUUUUGAAGGGAGGUGGGUGUGCAGAGGGUUGUGAGAGGUGUGUAGAGGGGUGUGGGAGGUGGGCAUAGGGGUGUGGGAGGUGGUAUGCAUGUGGGUGGAUAGGGGAUUGUGAGAGGUGGACCGCGGGGUGUGUGAAGUGGGCAGAGGUAGGGCAGGUUGGUGGGCAGGGGUGGGGUUUUGGGUGUGGGAAGGUGGGAUGGGCUGGCAACAAGGGGUGCUGGGGGAUGGCAACAGGUUUGCCAUUGGCUAGGGGUGUUGGGGGCUGGCAGCAGGGGAGGCCAAAAGCAAGUAUUGUUUUUAAAAAGGAAAAUUGACAAUAUAGGUCUGAACUUUGGGCGAUAAUUU